AAACGGCUGGAGCGGUUGCCACAGCACGCGGUGCUGGAGGCCCCGGCCGCCUCCGACGCGGCGGCGAUCGCGGCGGUGCUGCGCCGCCGCCGGUGGC
rnacentral:tRNA from 1 species